rnacentral:rRNA from 1 species
UAUCUAAUCCGUAAACGAUGAGUACUAGCUAUUGGAGGUAUUGACUCCUUCAGUGGCGCAGCUAACGCAUUAAGUACUCCGCCUGGGAAGUACGGUCGCAAGACUAAAACUCAAAGGAAUUGACGGGGGCCCGCACAAGCGGUGGAUUAUGUGGUUUAAUUCGAAGCAACGCGCAGAACCUUACCAAGGCUUGAAAUCCUCAGAAUUUCGGGUAAUUCCGAAAGUGCCCGCAAGGGAAUUGAGUGACAGGUGCUGCAUGGCUGUCGUCAGCUCGUGUUGUGAAAUGUUGGGUUAAGUCUCGCAACGAGCGCAACCCCUAUCUUUAGUUGCCAGCAUUAAGUUGGGCACUCUAGAGAGACUGCCCGGGUUAACCGGGAGGAAGGUGGGGAUGACGUCAAGUCCUCAUGGCCCUUAUGCCUUGGGCUACACACGUAAUACAAUGGUGCAUACAGAGGGAAGCAAUCUGGUGACAGUGAGCAAAUCUCAAAAAGUGCAUCUCAGUCCGG